UUUAUACUCCCUCCGUCCGGAAAUACUUGUCCUAAAAAUGGAUAAAAUGAAUGUAUCUAUAACUAAAAUAAGUCUAGAUACAACUAUUUGGAGGACAAGUAUUUUCGGACGGAGGGAGUAGUAG
rnacentral:pre_miRNA from 1 species